rnacentral:rRNA from 1 species
GUGUCAGCCGCCGCGGUAAGACAGAGGGUGCAAACGUUGUUCGGAUUUACUGGGCGUAAAGCGUGUGUAGGCGGCUUGGCAAGUUGGAUGUGAAAGCCCACGGCUCAACCGUGGAAGCGCACCCAAAACUGCUUCGCUCGAGUCUCGGAGAGGAAGGUGGAAUGCUUGGUGUAGAGGUGAAAUUCGUAGAUAUCAAGCAGAACACCUGCGGCGAAGGCGGCCUUCUGGACGAUGACUGACGCUGAGACACGAAAGCGUGGGGAGCAAACAGGAUUAGAUACCCCCGUAGUCC